rnacentral:rRNA from 1 species
GCUUGUCUCAAAGAUUAAGCCAUGCAUGUCUAAGUGUAAAUACGUCUACACUGUGAAACUGCGAAUGGCUCAUUAAAUCAGUUAUCGUUUAUUUGAUGAUCUCUUGUUACAUGGAUAACCGUAGUAAUUCUAGAGCUAAUACAUGCGUCAAGCCCCGACUCACGAAGGGGUGUAUUUAUUAGAUUCAAAACCAACCGUGUAAAAGCGUACCUUGGUGAUUCAUAAUAACUUGUCGAACCGCACGCCCUUGAGGCAGCGGUGAUUCAUUCAAAUUUCUGCCCUAUCAACUUUCGACGGUAGGAUAGAGGCCUACUGUGGUGAUAACGGGUAACGAAGAAUAAGGGUUCGAUUUCGGAGAGGGAGCCUGAGAAACGGCUACCACAUCCAAGGAAGGCAGCAGG